GCGCCCGUAGCUCAAUUGGAUAGAGUGUCUGGCUUCGAACCAGAAGGUUGGGGGUUCGAUUCCUCCCGGGCGCA
rnacentral:tRNA from 1 species